rnacentral:rRNA from 1 species
UACGUAGGGUGCGAGCGUUAAUCGGAAUUACUGGGCGUAAAGCGUGCGCAGGCGGUGAUGUAAGACAGGUGUGAAAUCCCCGGGCUUAACCUGGGAACUGCAUUUGUGACUGCAUCGCUGGAGUGCGGCAGAGGGGGAUGGAAUCCGCGUGUAGCAGUGAAAUGCGUAGAUAUGCGGAGGAACACCGAUGGCGAAGGCGACAUCCUGGACCGGUAUUGACGCUGAGGCGCGAAAGCCAGGGGAGCAAACGGGG